CGAGGCGUAGCUACAACACAAAGCAUUCAGCUUACACCUGAAAGAUAUCUGUCAAANCAUCAGAUCACCUCGA
rnacentral:tRNA from 1 species